CAGUUACCUUGGCCGGGUCACAACUGCGGCAGGGUAAUCGGGUGAGUCGUCGGGGAUUUUAAAGGAGCAAGCCCAGCCGCCGUCUGUGGCUGGGAAAGUCUACCAAACCCCCAUGCCGGAGCCGUGCACGUCUGACACACGCCUCCUUUCACUGGGCUCCCGCGACCUCAGCCGGCGAGGGGGUGCUGGCCGGCCGGCCGCGGGCAAGGGCACGGCCACCCGCUGGGCCCCUGCGGGCGCGGCGCCGGCCUGGCCCCCGGGGCCCGCGUCCCGAGCGGCUGUCACUCACCGAGCCGGGCUGCGAGGGGCAGAGGGGCGCCCGCGGCUAGCCGGAGCGCCCGGGCGCCUCCCUUCUCUCUUGGUAGCGUCGGUCCGCACUCCCUGUGACCCAGGACGUCAUGAUGCCUGUCUGUUUUCUCAAUGAUAACUUGGCAGAAGACGAGAGAGGCUGCCAGGUUCUCCUCGGGUGGUUACGUGAAGGGAGAGAGAGUUCCAGGUUCAACUGGAAAAAUAAUCAAGAUGUCAUCUGAUGCCACAAGUUAACUCCUAGGUUCUCAGCUGCGUGGCCCUGCCGGUUGCUGAGCCAGCAGAGUAAAGUUGAUGUCAUGGAAAGAACAUUGAACUUGGCAUCAAGA